GAUGAACGCUAGCGACAGGCUUAAUACAUGCAAGUCGAGGGGCAUCAAGGUACACGAAAGUGUAUUGUUGGCGACCGGCGGACGGGUGAGUAAUAGGUAGGUAACCUACCUCAUACUGAGGCAUAGCUGGGAGAAAUUCCAGGUAAUUCCUCAUGAGGUUAUAUGACACAUGUGAUAUAAUCAAAGGUAUCGCAAGGUACUGGUAUGAGAUGGGCUUACUGACCAUUAGCUAGUUGGUGAGAUAAGAGCUCACCAAGGCGAAGAUGGUUAGGGGUUUUGAGAGAGAGAUCCCCCACAUUGGAACUGAGAUACGGUCCAGACUCCUACGGGAGGCAGCAGUAGGGAAUAUUGGGCAAUGGGCGGAAGCCUGACCCAGCCAUGCCGCGUGAAGGAGACGGCCUUAUGGGUUGUAAACUUCUUUACUAUGCGACUAACUAGAUUUACGAGAUAAUUCUAUAGAAUGUAGCAUAGCAAAAGCACCGG
rnacentral:rRNA from 1 species